rnacentral:misc_RNA from 1 species
AACCAUUCUCACCUGCGGCUAGACCUGCGGAAGGAUCAUUACAAGUGACCCCGGUUUACCACCGGGAUGUUCAUAACCCUUUGUUGUCCGACUCUGUUGCCUCCGGGGCGACCCUGCCUUCGGGCGGGGGCUCCGGGUGGACACUUCAAACUCUUGCGUAACUUUGCAGUCUGAGUAAACUUAAUUAAUAAAUUAAAACUUUCAACAAUGGAUCU